CAUAGGGCUAAGGUCUCUGGGAAGGCAGAGCUGUGGUCUAGAAGAAGAUGAGGCUGCUGGGUCUUCUCCUGUGUCUGGUGACAGCCCCCCAAGGUGUCCUGCUCCAGGUGCAGCUGCUGGAGUGGGGCCCAGGACUGGUGAAGCCCUCGCAGACCCUCUCCCUCACCUGCGCAGACCAUGGAGUUUCCAUCACAACCAGUGGUUACUGCUGGAGCUGGAUCCGCCAGACCCCGGGGAAGGGGCUGGAGUGGAUGGGGUGCAUAUGCCAUGAUGGAAACACUUACUACAGCCCCUCCCUCAAGAGCCGAACCUCCAUCUCCAGAGACACAUCCAAGAACCAGGUCUCCCUGCAACUAAGUUCUGUGACUACAGGCGACACGGCUGUGUAUUACUGUGCAAGAGACACAGUGAGAGGCAGUCAGUGA